GACAGAGGAGCCAAGCGUUGUCCGGAUUGACUGGGCGUAAAGCGCACGCAGGCGGUCGCGCGCGUGGGGUGUGAAAUCUGGCCGCUUAACGGCCAGGCGCCAUCCCAUACGGCGCGACUGGAGUGAUGCAGAGGUCGGUGGAAUUGCCGGUGUAGUGGUGAAAUGCGUAGAGAUCGGCAGGAACACCCAGGGGGAAGCCAGCCGACUGGGCAUCUACUGACGCUGAGGUGCGAGAGCGUGGGGAGCGAACCGG
rnacentral:rRNA from 1 species